rnacentral:rRNA from 1 species
GUGGAUUAGAUACCCUGGUAGUCCAUGCCGUAAACGUUGGGCACUAGGUGUGGGGGACAUUCCACGUUUUCCGCGCCGUAGCUAACGCAUUAAGUGCCCCGCCUGGGGAGUACGGCCGCAAGGCUAAAACUCAAAGAAAUUGACGGGGGCCCGCACAAGCGGCGGAGCAUGCGGAUUAAUUCGAUGCAACGCGAAGAACCUUACCAAGGCUUGACAUAUACUGGACUGCGUCAGAGAUGGCGUUUCCCUUCGGGGCUGGUAUACAGGUGGUGCACGGUCGUCGUCAACU